UACGUAGGGUGCAAGCGUUGUCCGGAAUUAUUGGGCGUAAAGAGCUCGUAGGCGGUCUGUCGCGUCGGCUGUGAAAACUCGGGGCUCAACUCCGAGCUUGCAGUCGAUACGGGCAGGCUAGAGUUCGGCAGGGGAGACUGGAAUUCCUGGUGUAGCGGUGAAAUGCGUAGAUAUCGGGAGGAACACCAGUGGCGAAGGCGAUCAUCUGGGGUUGUUCUGACACUGAGGAGCGAAAGCUAGGGGAGCAAACGGG
rnacentral:rRNA from 1 species